rnacentral:rRNA from 1 species
AAGGCAAGCGGAUCUCUUAAAGCUGUUCUCAGUUCGGACUGCAGUCUGCAACUCGACUGCACGAAGCUGGAAUCGCUAGUAAUCGCGGAUCAGCACGCCGCGGUGAAUACGUUCCCGGGCCUUGUACACACCGCCCGUCACACCAUGGAAGUCUGCAAUGCCCGAAGCCGGUGGCCUAACCACUUAUGUGGAAGGAGCCGUCUAAGGCAGGGCAGAUGACUGGGGUGAAGUCGUAACAAGGUAAC